UCUUUUACUGUUUUAUUUAUUUAUUUUUUCAGGGACUUCUUAAAAGCCUAAUUUCAUUGUAUUGACUACUAGGGAGAACCAAUCUGUUUACCUGGCCUGUACCACUACACUAGCUAGAGUGUCUUCCCCCCUUCCUUCUUGCACAUCAUGGUAUGUUCCUACUCUGUCUUUGCAUAUCACUGGCUACAUGGUGUGCUUAUGAAAAUAAAGUCCGGCCCUGGCUUACAUGGUUUUCCAGCAGGGCAGAAAAUAGCUGUUUGCUAUAACGAAUUGGCACUUAGAGCUAGCUUGUUCAUGAACAACACAUCACUAAUUUGGUCUGGAGUUUGGACUCGUCUGUUGACUGAUGUUUUGGUUCCUGUCUCAAUUUCCUCAUUCCAAGACUCUUACGUACCCAAAAGCUGCUCCACUGGUAGCAGAGGACCAUGAAGCACAGACCCAGACACAUUAUGUUCUUGCCAAACAGUGUUCUGCCUUUUGGCCACCUCCAUGCUGAGAGUGUUCUUCUCCGCAGAGCUGCCUGCUUCUGCCCACGACAUUCACACAAAAACGUAAUUCUCAGAGGGGGAGUCGGUUCUAAGACGACGACGAGGGAUCAUCUGCAACGCCACAAAUUUCCCAGGGGGCUUCAGCUGAAUCGAAGACAUGAUUGAUUGACUGUUUAUGGUCAUGAAUUCACUGAGGAACAGAACCAUGCAUGCUGCUUAAUGAGUUCCUUGAGAGCGUCCACAUGUGUGCAUCGCAGUCCACUGUUUUUAGUGUAAGAAAGCCAUAUAGCUAUGAAAGAUCACAGAGGAAGAGUGAUGAUACCAGGAUGAGUUUGUGACGGCAGGUUUUUCACCUUUCCUCUAUGUGUGGCAAUUAUUAACAGAUGUCAGUUCUCCAGCCAUUUUCUCAGCACUUGGGGUCUCUAAGAUGGGAGACGGGGAUAAAACAUCAAAGACCACAAGCCAGGCUGCCUUUGGGGGUUUCCCAAAGAAAAGGCCCACCAUCUUCAAGGGCAGAGCAGGAAGAGGGCGAUGAAAGAAGUGCCGGGGUGUGCGGAGCCAUUUCAACUUUUUACUUUGUAGCCAGGAGGGAGGGACAUUACCUGAGAGGUGGAAGUGUUGUCACAGUGUUUUAAGUGUUUUGGUUUAGCAGAGCACACAUAUGUGCGGGUAAAAAUAAGCAACCACCAACAGAAAUAGGACCUUAAUGAUAGGACGUGCCAUGAACUGCUUAAGCAGUUCAUCAUCAGCUGUGAAGCAGCAAAUCAGAAACUGAGUAAGUGCUCUGCUUCCUUUUGAACAACAGGGAGAGAGUCAAUGUUGACACAGAGAUUAGUACAAAAUCUGACAUUCCUCAGCAGGAAACAAAGGAGCUGAUUCUGAAAUAUUCAUGUCAUGUCAGAUAGAAAGGUACAUGUGGGAAGAAUUGCCCCAGAUAUGAUUUAUCACACAUUUUAGUAGAUAUUUUAGACGCUGCCCUCAAAACACUGAUGACUGAUGAUCACUGUCAUAUCGAAAUGUCAAAUUUCAACAUUUCAUAAACCCAUGUGAUGUAUUACUCAAAAUGUAUGUUGAAGUAGCUUAACAUACUUACAGCAGGAAUCGGUUAUGCCUCAGAGGGCAAAGACGUAAUGAAUUGUUCAAAAUAAAUAAAGGUGAGAGACAAUGAGCCCUGCUAUAUGAGUGUGCAUUUGUUGAGGUAUGAAGCUUUACUGCAGUCCCAGGUAAUAAUUGAGUGGAGAUU